GUGGGGAAUCUUGCGCAAUGGGCGAAAGCCUGACGCAGCAACGCCGCGUGGGGGAUGAAGGCCUUCGGGUUGUAAACCUCUUUCACCAUCGACGAAGCCCUUCGGGGUGACGGUAGGUGGGGAAGAAGCACCGGCUAACUACGUGCCAGCAGCCGCGGUAAUACGUAGGGUGCGAGCGUUGUCCGGAUUUAUUGGGCGUAAAGAGCUCGUAGGCGGUUUGUCGCGUCGGCCGUGAAAACCUACAGCUUAACUGUGGGCUUGCGGUCGAUACGGGCAGACUUGAGUUCGGCAGGGGAGACUGGAAUUCCUGGUGUAGCGGUGAAAUGCGCAGAUAUCAGGAGGAACACCGGUGGCGAAGGCGGGUCUCUGGGCCGAUACUGACGCUGAGGAGCGAAAGCGUGGGGAGCGAACAGGAUUAGAUACCCCUGUAGUCC
rnacentral:rRNA from 1 species